rnacentral:rRNA from 1 species
UCACCUACGGGACGGAGCAGUCGGGAAUAAUGCGAAAUGGAGGAAAUUCUGACGCAGUGACCUCGCGUAUAGGAAGAAGGUUUUCGGAUUGUAAACUAUUGUCGUUAGGGAAGAUAAAAGACUGUAACUAAGGAGGAAGCCCCGGCUAACUAUGUGCCAGCAGCCGCGGUAAUACAUAGGGGGCAAGCGUUAUCCGGAAUUAUUGGGUGUAAAGGGUGCGUAGACGGAAGAACAAGUUGGUUGUGAA